AGAUCAAGAGCCGAUUUUGUGUAAAAUUCCAACAUAAACAAUACAAAAAAAGCAUGAAAAAAAGAAGGAAAAUAAUCCUGAAAAAUCAAAAUUUGUGAGAGGCCAUAAUUAUUUACAAAAUUACGCUUAUUUCGUCCUCAAAUCACACUCCACCCCCUCCGGAACCCCGCUCAAAGCCUUACUCGAACCUCAUCCUCCAAUCUCAGUCAACACUCCGAAACCACACUCAUCCUUACCAUACCCAACCCCUUGCCAAUUGCGAACUCAUAAAUGCUUUCGAUCAAGUUUGGCUUUACUACUCUUAACAACAUCAACACCAUCUCCUGCUCGAGUUUCCGAAGAAAGCACAACUCAAAUCACCUUGCAAGGAAAAGCAGAUCAUAUCAUUAGCGAGCGAUCCUCUUCGAAAAAUCUCAAAAAGGGAAUAAGGUCGACUCAGUACCCAAGUAGAUCAACAAAAGAAAUUCCAUGAGAGGGUUGGAGAUUACUACUGUGAGUUAGCUAGACGAUGAGAGAGUGGAAGCUACCAAUCGCCUCAACGAAAAAGGGGAGACCACUGAUCGGAGUUGAAGAUGGAAUAGGCUAGGGUUUCUUGAGAGAAGGUAGGGACGAACACAAGCUUGGAUAUUGACAGAUUUCAAUAGAAGGAUCGACCGGUGGCGUCCG
rnacentral:lncRNA from 1 species